CACCACUGUAAGGAAAAUCACAAACAUGAGCGUCGGAGCGAGGUGGAAAAGGGCUGUCCGGCCUGGGAGAUUUCAUAUGAUGAUGAGAGAGUCGGAAGACUACCUUUUUAAUUACGAAGGAACUGGGAACAAUCCCAGCGGCACUUCUGUUUUGGGAAAAGACAGGUCAGCCUUUACUGAAGCACCUAGGAAAUGCUUAGCACUGUACCCUACACCUGAGAGACAUGUUAAGUUUCCAGGGUGCUUGCACGGGAGCGGCUCUGCCUAGAAACCAUUUUUUAAAAAGCUGACGUUUACCUCCUCCUGCAAUUUUCCUUGACGCUAGCUGGACGAUCUCCACGGUCACCGAAGUCUGCCUUGUUUCAUCUCUAGAGGAUCGUACGGGAAAGCGGUAUUCCACGAAGAAAGUGCUAAGCCCAACCGCUAGCAAAUGUGCCCAUCGACAGAGAAGCACUCAAGGCAGAAGGAAGAGGAAGACUGAUUAACCAGUCUCUCGGUAACUGAACGUGAGAGGAAACCAUCACAGCUCCAAAGCUUUAUUUACAGUGAAAGAGCUCCUCGAAAUUCCAAAAAGGAAUUUCUCUAAAUGGCGUUGUCCUCCACACAGGCAAGUCUUCAUCCAAAGUACCUUCAUUUUCCUUAGGAUCUAGUGUUAAGGAACUGGAUUGCUUUUGCCAGACUGCUUCCUGAACGCCCCUAAUUUCGUCGUUAGAAAUUCAGCAGAUGUUUCUGGGAUGAUCGUCCUUCAACUUGAAUGCAUUACACGAUAAGAUUGAAGUACAGAAAUAAGUUCACCUGGGCUUCUUUCCUGCUGCCAUCUUUUUCUGACCGUGGUCUUUAGAGUCCAUCCCAUUCAGGGCCUUGGAAAACCCCUGUGUUUCUUUCAUUUUUUUAGAAGGCGUGCCAUCAUCGUCCUCACUGAGAAAAUCGCUCAUGCUGACAUCAUAUUUCUUAAUUAUGAGUAGCAAAGAGAAGAGACAAAAAUGAGCCUCUGAAGACACAUUUGGGACUCUAGUAAUACUGUUGGGCAUAAAUAUUAUACACUGUUGUAGAUAAAUUUUUCACUGCAAAGGUAACAAUACCAUGACUUGGAAUCUGUACAGUAAUUUCACGUUUUAAAGUAACUUACCCGAGACUCCAGGGCAGGUCAGAGGCAGAGCCGGGACUAGAACCCAGAUCUUCUUCUGACUCCAGGACCUUAUACUCUUCCCACUAGAUUCCCAAAGAAAGGGAUAUCUACUGUUCGUUAUCUAGAUCACCUGCCGCGACUGGCUGGUCAAACCACCCAGGCUUAUUUUCAUACUUGAAAAACUGAGUUCAUAGAAAACUGAGCUUCUAAAGUGGAAUUGCACAAAUAGACUCUGCUUGUAAAAGUAUUUAUCAGAAGGACACUUUCACGGGUCCACCUUCCAUCUCCCGAAGACCUGCUGUUAGGAAAGCCACAUUUCACUGGCCGGCCCCACCGAUCACAGGGCUGUUCUGUGCCCGGUCACGCUGGAAACCGGUGCACAGAGGAUGCCCUCCUGCGACCCUGCCUUCCGGAGGAGGAGAACUAAACCAAAUAUCUCCAGAGCCUGACCAAAGCUGGGGGCACAAGCCUUGAUGGCAGCAGCAGCAGCAGGGUUCUACCCCCGCACCCCCAGUCCUGGGGAAGUCCAAGCUGCUGACCUGUCCACUCAUCAACUCACCUCUUGUCACGAACACUAUCUCGGCCUGGGGGUCUACUGGAAUUCACGUGCUCUAUGUGGGUCUGUGUGGCUCAGUGAAGGAGAGCAAGAGAAAUGGAAAGCUUCACCCAGCCGAGUUCUCCAACCUGUCCUUAACGGUGUUGAAGGAAAGAGAGCCUUUCGUGGCCCUACCUAGUACAGGUGUAAAAUGCAAUCCCCAGGUCAGGUCCAAGAUGGGUUUUUCUUUUGGCUCCCAAAGAUGGAGUGGGUGGUUGGGCUUCCAGAAUGAGGUUGGCCAUCCGUCCCCUGCCCCAAGUUACCGCUUACCGGUGCCGUGU